rnacentral:snRNA from 1 species
GUGCUCACUUUGGCAGCACAUACACAAAAACUGAAACCAUACAGAGAAGAUUAACAUGGCCCCUGCUCAUCAAGUGUUCCUUUUUUUA